GAGUUUGAUUCUGGCUCAGGAUGAACGCUGGCGGCGUGCCUAAUACAUGCAAGUCGAACGAGGAGCCUUUGUACUCGUUAUGAAGGUUUCCUAGUGGCGAACGGGUGAGUAACGCGUUGGUGACCUGCCCCGAAGUGGGGAUUAUAAAAUUAAAAAAGAGCUGCUAAUACCCCAUGUGAUCCUUGGUGUUAGAGAACCAUUGAUUAAAGGAGCAAUUCGCUUCGGGAGGGGCCUGCGUCCCAUCAGCUAGUUGGUAGGGUAACGGCCUACCAAGGCUAAGACGGGUAGGGGACCUGAGAGGGUGACCCCCCACACUGGCACUGAAACACGGGCCAGACAUCUACGGAUGGCAGCAGUAGGGAAUAUUGCCCAAUGGACGAAAGUCUGAGGCAGCAACGCCGCGUGCACGAUGAAGGCCUUCGGGUUGUAAAGUGCUUUUCUGGAGGAAGAGAAAGGACGGUACUCCAGGAAUAAGGAUCGGCUAACUACGUGCCAGCAGCCGCGGUAACACGUAGGAUCCGAGCGUUAUCCGGAUUUACUGGGCGUAAAGCGCGUGUAGGCGGUACGGUAAGUUGGAUGUCAAAGCUCCCGGCUCAACUGGGAGAGGCCGUUCAAAACUACCGGACUAGAGGACGAUAGAGGGAGGUGGAAUUCCCGGUGUAGUGGUGAAAUGCGUAGAUAUCGGGAGGACACCAGUGGCGAAGGCGGCCUCCUGGAUCGUUCCUGACGCUCAGACGCGGAAGCUAUGGGGAGCGAACGGAUUAGGAAACCCCGGGUAGUCCUAGGCCGUUAAACGAUUGUUGGAACCUG
rnacentral:rRNA from 1 species